GGUUGAUCCUGCCAGUAGUGUACGCUUGUCCAUAAGAUUAAGCCAUGCAUGUCUAUGUACAGCCCUUUUGUACGGUGAAACUGCGAACGGCUCAUUAUAUCAGUUAUAAUCUACUUGAUGAUUCCUUACUACUUGGAUAACCGUGGUAAUUCUACAGCUAAUACAUGCAUCAAGACCCUUUUGGGUUGUAUUUAUUAGAUAAAGCCUUGGCAGAGAGAUCUGCAGAUGGUGAGUCAUGAUAACUGGGCGGAUCGUAGGGCCUUGAGCCGACGACGCUUCAUUCGAGUUUCUG
rnacentral:rRNA from 1 species